rnacentral:rRNA from 1 species
UGAUUUAAUCAUGCCUACAGUUUUAAUGCACCAGGUCCCAUUAUAACUUCAUAGUAAAGUAGUAAAGUGUGCAUGGGAUAGAGUAGUAUUGGGAUGGGUAACCUCCCAAGAAGUCCUAGUGUUUUAC